rnacentral:lncRNA from 1 species
UUCAAUGUUCCUCUCUCUCAAUUGCCCCUGCUUCAGACCCAGGAUCCCAUCAUUGCUUCCUUCAGGUACAUCCUCUCCUCCCUCUCAUUCCUUUUGGGUUUUUUUCUUUUCUUUUUUUUCCUUUUUGGGGUUUCUCAUGUUCUUAGUAAGUAUUAAUGAUUAAGAUUAUAUAUUUUUGGACUGAGUUUCCGGCUCUCCUCAAAAGACAAAAAGUGUGUUCCCGAGGACAUGUCACUCAAAAUAUUUCUGAUCAUUUGCCAUCAAUUAUUUCCUCUUGUACUUAAGAAUAGUGAUUCUAAGAUACCCACCACCACCCCAUAUUUGAUGGUAAAACCCCAAUCCAAGGAAACGGAAUGGGUUUCUGCAAAAGGGGAAGGAAUCCAUUUCCCGGAGACGGAGAGAGAGUUUCCUCCCCUGUACCCAUCUGCCCAUGUCAACCUUUUUUUCAAAAUUUAAAGAAAUAAGAUGAAAAUAAUGAAGAUGAUUUUCAUUGGUUUCAUUCAAAUUACAUCAAAAGUCUUAAGCAAUCAUUUUUAAUAUUCCAUUACAUUUAAUCUAAGUUUUUCUACACAUAAAUUUUUUAUAAUAAUGUUUUUAAGCUAAAAAAAGAUUAGAUGAGAUUAUUGAUUGCUUUCUAAUUUAGAUUGAGAUCGAUGCUCACCAACCGACCCCGACCCCAACCCCAAAUUGUAAUUUUAAUGGAAUGAAAUUAAAUAAUACAAGGUCACAUCAUCUAGUGCAUUCCAAUCGAAUCUUACAAAAAAAAAAAAGUAUUAAAUUAUAUAUAUAUAUAUAUAUAUGGCAUUGAGAGUGUUUUAUUAAAUAGGAAGCAUGGCCACAUGACUUAAAUAUUUGUCUCCUAUUGUGUCCGGAUUGCUUUUGUCUCUUCCUCCAAGACAAAAAGUCCUUGCUAACUAAGAAUCCUUCUUUUUGCAAUGGCCACCAUCACUUUCAUUCAUAAUUCAAUUACUUUUUCUUGGCCCCAUUUACUUUUUCUUGGCCCCAUUACAAAGGGGAAAAGGUUAAGCAAAGCUCAACGUUCAUGUCUCUCUCAUCAUCAACACCAUUUCCGUUCCCCUUUUAAUUCUAUGAAGAAAGUAUGCUACUAAAUCAUAUGCCUUUUUUGUUUCGUUUCAUGGCCCACAAGACUUAUCCUCGAGGAAUAUGGAAGGCAUUUGUCUAGAAUUGCGAGAACUCUCUUUGAGGCUAUGGCUAAGAACUUGGGACAUGAUCCAAAGCAAUAUGAGUCUAGUCUAGACGAAUCUUCCGGAAUCGUUCGAGUUUAUAGAUACC